CGAGCGAUGGAGGACGAGGAGAUGGAGAGGAAGGUGCAGCAGUACCUGCACCGCAAGGGAUUCCGCCUCACCGAGCUCGCGCUGCAGGAGGAGCGCAACCGCCUCUCCACCACCUCCCUCUCCGACGUCUCGCUCU
rnacentral:pre_miRNA from 1 species